rnacentral:rRNA from 1 species
AUUGAACGCUGGCGGCAUGCUUUACACAUGCAAGUCGAACGGCAGCGCGGGGCAACCUGGCGGCGAGUGGCGCACGGGUGAGUAAUAUAUCGGAACGUACCCAAGAGUGGGGGAUAACGUAGCGAAAGUUACGCUAAUACCGCAUACGAUCUAAGGAUGAAAGUGGGGGAUCUUCGGACCUCAUGCUCCUGGAGCGGCCGAUAUCUGAUUAGCUAGUUGGUAGGGUAAAGGCCUACCAAGGCUACGAUCAGUAGCUGGUCUGAGAGGACGACCAGCCACACUGGAACUGAGACACGGUCCAGACUCCUACGGGAGGCAGCAGUGGGGAAUUUUGGACAAUGGGCGCAAGCCUGAUCCAGCAAUGCCGCGUGAGUGAAGAAGGCCUUCGGGUUGUAAAGCUCUUUUGUCAGGGAAGAAACGGCUGAGGUUAAUACCUUUGGCUAAUGACGGUACCUGAAGAAUAAGCACCGGCUAACUACGUG